rnacentral:rRNA from 1 species
AAUGAACGUUGGCGGCGUGGAUUAGGCAUGCAAGUCGAGCGGAAAGGCCCGCAAGGGCACUCGAGCGGCGUAAGGGACAGUAAUGUGUAGGUAACGUACCCCUGGGUCUAGGAUAGCUGCGGGAAACUGCAAUUAAUACUAGAUAACGUCUCCGGACCAAAGGUGUGAUUCCACCUGGGGAGCGGCCUACAUCCUAUUAGCUAGUUGGCGAGGUAAUGGCUCACCAAGGCGAAGAUGGGUAGCAGGUGUGAGAGCACGACCUGCGUCACUGGGACUGAGACACUGCCCAGACACCGUACGGGUGGCUGCAGUCGAGAAUCUUCGGCAAUGGGCGAAAGCCUGACCGAGCGACGCCGCGUGUGGGAUGAAGGCCUUCGGGUUGUAAACCACUGUCGGAGGGGAUGAAGUGUUAGUGGGUUCUCCCAUUAACUUGACUGAUCCUCGGAGGAAGGGUGGGCUAAGUUCGUGCCAGCAGCCGCGGUAAAGUAUCG